rnacentral:rRNA from 1 species
GUAGUCUGCAACUCGACUACAUGAAGCUGGAAUCGCUAGUAAUCGCGAAUCAGAAUGUCGCGGUGAAUACGUUCCCGGGUCUUGUACACACCGCCCGUCACACCAUGGGAGUCAGUAACGCCCGAAGCCGGUGACCCAACCAGUUCAGGAGGGAGCCGUCGAAGGUGGGACCGAUAACUGGGGUGAAGUCGUAACAAGGUACC